GCUCAGUUAGAGCUUACAGAGCAUAGAGGCCUAAAGCUCUGAAGAAGAUCGGAGAAGGAAAAUGGUUUCCCUCUCAUUCAACUCGUUGUCUCCUCCACCAUCUCAAAACAGGAAGCUUUCAGAACCGGCUUAUGUUAAUGGAACUCUGAAGCCAAUUACAAUCAGAGGAAGUCCUCCUACCUUUGUUUCUGCUCCAGGCCGCAGGAUAAUUGCUGUCGGUGAUCUGCAUGGUGAUCUCACGCAAACAAGAUCUGCACUGGAAAUGGCUGGUGUUUUAAGCUCAGAUGGUCCAGAUUCAUGGAUUGGUGGAGAAACGGUGGUGGUUCAACUUGGAGACAUCCUUGAUCGGGGUGAAGAUGAAAUAGCAAUUUUAUCUUUACUACGCUCCCUACAUAUUCAGGCAAAAUCUAGUGGUGGUGCGGUCUUUCAGGUAAAUGGAAAUCAUGAAACAAUGAAUGUUGAAGGUGAUUUCAGAUAUGUUGAUCCAGGGGCAUUUGAGGAGUGUGUAGACUUCGUUGAAUACUUAGAAGAGCAUGAUCAGAACUGGGAGCGAGCUUUUGUUGGAUGGGUUGGUGUUUCUAAAAGAUGGAAGGAGAAUAGAAGAGCAUCUCAAGGCCAUUGGAAUCCUUGGAAUCUUGUUCAGAGGCAGAAGGGUAUUGUUGCUAGAUCGUCACUUCUGAAGCCUGGUGGUCCAUUAUCUUGUGAACUAGCACGCCAUGCUGUCAUACUGAAAGUAGAUGACUGGGUGUUUUGUCAUGGAGGCCUACUUCCUCAUCAUGUGGCAUAUGGCAUAGAUAAAAUGAAUAAAGAAGUAUCAUACUGGAUGCAAGGUCUGCAUGAAAACAAUGAUGGCCCCCAAAUUCCUUUUAUAGCUACCAGAGGUUAUGAUAGUGUCGUUUGGAAUCGAUUAUAUUCAAGAGAUACUACGGAUAUAGAUUACAGGAGUUGGAAGAUAUCUUCUAUUCUAGAAGAAACACUUCAGGCAGUAGGAGCUAAGCGAAUGGUGGUUGGUCACACUCCACAGUUUAAUGGUGCAAAUAGCAAAUACAAUAAAAAAAUAUGGCGCAUUGAUGUGGGCAUGUCAAGUGGAGUACUUCAUUCAAGACCAGAGUCAGGUUCUAGAAAUAAUAGAUGGCAAAGCAAGGGUAUUGAGGAAAAUUGAUGAUUCAACACUCUCGCAGGCUAUGGAUUAUCUAUGAAGCAUAUUGAUUGGUGAACUAGGAUUGAAGCAGGAUUCCUGGAUAAGUUACUAAGUUGCUGGUUGUAUAUUCAUCUUUAAAGGACCUAUUUCAUAGCGAAUCUCUCAAAUCCUACUUCGUGAAAGUAUGCAUUCAAACCAUGGCGAGAGUAACCCCAUAAACCCAGACAGGAAGCAAUACGGCCAUACGAAAUGUAAAAAUUUUCUUUGCAGAUAUUGUAUAUUCCUCAAAAGAUUUAGGAAAUAAGAAACACGAUUGAAUUAUUUUGAAAAAAAUAAAAGAAUAAACUUAAAAGUUAAAUUUUUCAUGUAAAGUAGCACUGGAAAUUUCUAUUUUGAGGCCAUUCUGUAGAGCACAAGUACUAUUUAUUUAACUGCAAUUGUACAGUUGUGUGAACUUGUUUUUUUGAAGAACAAGGCUUGUGGAAACA